rnacentral:misc_RNA from 1 species
UGCGGUCAGCUCCUCUCAAACGAAUCAGCUUCCCAGUGUUUGGUGGCGUCAUGGGUGUGAUAACUAUCUACGCUCGUGGUCAUCCGCCAGGUAACCUUCAGUGAUGGAGGUUUGCUGGAGCUUACAAAUGUCUCUCCUCAGCGAAGACAGCUUUUUAAACGUUCGAUCUCAAAUCAGGUAGGACUACCCGCUGAACUUAA